rnacentral:lncRNA from 1 species
AAAAAAAUUCGAAAAAAUUAUUAAAAUUCAUUAUAAAUAUUAUUUUUUAGGAAUUCAAUAAAAAAUGAGGGUACUCCAUUAAGAAUUUUCAUGUUUUUGAAUGAAUAUGCGAAUAUUGAUAUGUUCUUUCCCUGCAUGAACCGCCAUUCAGCAUUUAAUUUACAGUAUUUCGUGCUCAUCCCUACACUGUUGCUGUUGGGACUCGAUAUGUGAAUAAUAUGGUUGGGAUAGGGUGGCCUCA